rnacentral:lncRNA from 1 species
CUCGGUCUCCCAAAGUGCUGGGAUUACAGGUGUGAGCCACACCUGUAUUAUUUACAAUGGUUCUCCUACAUGCCAGGCUUUGUUUGGUAUGUGGAAAUAAAAACUGUGAUGAAUAAAUAAUAAACCACCUUCAAAUAACAUUAGGAUUAGAGCUGGGUGUGGUGGCUCAUGCCUGUAAUCCCAGCACUGUGGGAGGCUGUGGGAGGCUGAGGUGGGCCGAUCACGAGGUCAGGAGAUAGAGACCACCCUGGCCAACAUGGUGAAACCCUGUCUCUACUAAAAAUACAAAAAAUUAGCUGGGUGUGGUGGCGGACGCCUGUAAUCCCAGCUACUCGGGAGGCUGAGGCAGGACAAUCGCUUGAACCCAGGAGGUGAAGGUUGCAGUGAGCUGAGAUCGCACCACUGCACUCCAGCCUGGGUGACACAGCGAGAUUCCGUUUAAAAAGAAGGUACACUGGAAAGGGGCGGCAUGAGGGAGGCCAUGGUGGGAGAUGGUUCUGUA